rnacentral:lncRNA from 1 species
CCGCAGCCCCCCCGGCUCGCGGCCCCGGCCCGGUUUUUGCAGCACCCUGUGCUGGGGGAGCCGGCCCCGCGCCGCCCCGGCAGGCAGCACCUGCAGGCAGCAGCAGGCAGGCGCGGGAGGGAGCAGCCUGCUCGCCCCGAGCGGCCUCUGCCCCGGCACCAGCCUCAACACGCCACCAUCAGCGUCACCGUGCCGGCACCGGCCUCUCCGUGCCGGCAUCAACCUCGCCGUGCGCCCCGCGGCAGAGACGGGCGUCUGCACCGGCAUCGGCCCCUUUGCGCUAGCACCAGCCUCUCCACGCACCCGGGGUGCAGACGGGCAUCUGCACCGGCACCAACCUCACCGUGCACCCCGGGUGCAGACGGGCAUCUGCACCGGCACCAACCUUGCCAAGCCGGCACUGGCCUCACCGUGCACCUCGUGGUGCGGAUGGGCAUUUGCACCAGCACCAACCAACCUGGCUGUGCCAGAAUCAGCCUCACCGUGCACCUCAUGGUGCAGAYGGGCAUCUGCACCGGCACCAGCCUCACCGUGCACUCCGGAGCGCAGAUGGGCAUCUGCACCAGCACCAACCUCGCCAUACCAGAACCAGCCUCACCGUGCACCCCGGGGUGCAGACAGGUAUCUGCAUCAGCACCAACCUCACCCUGCACCUUAGGGUGCAGAUGGGCACCUGCACCGGCACCAACCUCACCGUGCACCUUAGGGUGCAGACAGGCAUCUGCAUCAGCACCAACCUCACCGUGCACCUCGUGGUGCAGAUGGGCACCUGCACCAGCACCAACCUCGCCAUGCCAGAACCAGCCUCACCGUGCACCCCGGGGUGCAGACAGGCACCUGCACCAGCACCAACCUCGCCAUGCCAGCACCAGCCUCACCGUGCACCCCGGGGUGCAGAUGGGCACCUGCACCGGCACCAACCUCGCUGCACCAGCACCAACCUCGCCACACUGGCACCAGCCUCGCCGCGCGCCCGCGGUGCAGACGGGCACCUGCACCGGCACCGACCUCGCCGCGCCGGCACC